rnacentral:rRNA from 1 species
UGCUUCUUGCAUCCACAUAAGAAGUAAUUCCUGCCCAGUGACUCACGUUCAACGGCCGCGGUAUCCUAACCGUGCAAAGGUAGCAUAAUCACUUGCCCAUUAAUUGUGGGCUAGAAUGAAAGGACCAACGAAAUAAAAACUGUCUCUAUAAGUCGCAUAAAAAUUAAUCUCUAACUGAAGACUGUUAGAUACCGUUGAAGGACAAGAAGACCCUGUAGAGCUUCAUUUUAAUUAAAACUGACUAUUUAAAUAAGAUUCGGUUGGGGCGACCAGGGAAAAAUCAAUCAUCCCCUACAAAAAGAUUAAUUAAUCUACUUUAUGACCCUUAAUUAAGAUCACCAGAACAAGCUACCUUAGGGAUAACAGGCUAAUCCCACUAAAGAGUUCUUAUCAAUAGUGGGGGUUGGCACCUCGAUGUUGGCUUAGGGAAUCUAUAUGAAGCAAAAGUCAUAUAAAGAUGGUUUGUUCAACCAAUAAUACCCU